GGGGGUAUAGCUCAGUUGGUAGAGCGCUUGAAUGGCAUUCAAGAGGUCAUCGGUUCGAAUCCGUUUAUCUCCACCA
rnacentral:tRNA from 1 species